AAUCAACGCUGGCGGCGUGCCUCAGACAUGCAAGUCGAACGCGAAAGUUUCCUUCGGGAGAUGAGUAGAGUGGCGCACGGGUGAGUAACACGUGAGUAAUUUACCUUCGGGUGGGGAAUACUAACCGGAAACGGUUGUUAAUACCGCAUAAUGCAGCGGCAUCAAUGAUGACAGUUGUUAAAGCGGGGGAUUGGAGCAAUCCGACCUCGCGCCUGAAGAGAAGCUCGCGGCAGAUUAGCUAGUUGGUAAGGUAAUGGCUUACCAAGGCGACGAUCUGUAACCGGCCUGAGAGGGCGGUCGGUCACACUGACACUGAAUAACGGGUCAGACUCCUACGGGAGGCAGCAGUCGGG
rnacentral:rRNA from 1 species